rnacentral:rRNA from 1 species
UAGGGAAUCUUCCACAAUGGACGAAAGUCUGAUGGAGCAACGCCGCGUGAGUGAUGAAGGGUUUCGGCUCGUAAAACUCUGUUGUUGGAGAAGAACAGGUGUGAGAGUAACUGUUCACAUCUUGACGGUAUCCAACCAGAAAGCCACGGCUAACUACGUGCCAGCAGCCGCGGUAAUACGUAGGUGGCAAGCGUUGUCCGGAUUUAUUGGGCGUAAAGCGAGCGCAGGCGGUUUCUUAGGUCUGAUGUGAAAGCCUUCGGCUUAACCGGAGAAGUGCAUCGGAAACCAGGAGACUUGAGUGCAGAAGAGGACAGUGGAACUCCAUGUGUAGCGGUGAAAUGCGUAGAUAUAUGGAAGAACACCAGUGGCGAAGGCGGCUGUCUGGUCUGUAACUGACGCUGAGGCUCGAAAGCAUGGGUAGCGAACAGGAUUAGAUACCCUGGUAGUCCAUGCCGUAAACGAUGAGUGCUAAGUGUUGGGAGGCUUCCGCCUCUCAGUGCUGCAGCUAACGCAUUAAGCACUCCGCCUGGGGGAGUACGACCGCAAGGUUGAAAC